GCGCUGGUAGCUCAAUGGCAGAGCUUAAGUUUUCCAAACUUAAGACAAGGGUUCGAUUCCCUUCCGACGCUCCA
rnacentral:tRNA from 1 species